rnacentral:rRNA from 1 species
UACGUAGGGGGCAAGCGUUGUCCGGAUUUAUUGGGCGUAAAGAGCGUGUAGGCGGCUUGGUAGGUCCGCUGUGAAAACUCGAGGCUCAACCUCGAGAUGUCGGCGGAAACCACUUGGCUAGAGUCCGGAAGAGGAGAGUGGAAUUCCUGGUGUAGCGGUGAAAUGCGCAGAUAUCAGGAGGAACACCAAUUGCGAAGGCAGCUCGCUGGGACGUUACUGACGCUGAGACGGCGAAAGCGUGGGGAGCAAACAGG